UGAGUACAUUAGUGGAUACUAUGGAUUGUCAUCUUAUUUCUUUGGAAAACUAUUAUCUGACUUAAUCCCUAGGAGGUUUCUGCCAAGCAUUAUAUUUACCCUUACUCUAUAUUUUAGAUUUGGAUUGAAACAUAGCUAGAGGCCUUCUUCAUCAUGUUUUUUACUGUUAUGCUGGUGACUUACACAGCCAGUUCCAUGGCACUGGCCAUAGCAAUAGGUCCAAGUAUGGACUAUAUGACAACAUUUCUCAUGAACCUCUAUUUUGUGUUUAUGAUGAUCUUUUUGAGUAUGUCGCUGUAUUUUGAAACCAUUGCACCUGUGUUUUCAUGGUUUCAGUACUUAAGUAUUCCA